AGAAAACACUAUAUUGUCAUGUUAUUGUUUUAGGUGUUCGUGGUCAGAACUGUUGGAGUGUGACUUACCCCCAUCAGGGAGUCUGUGCCUUGAAGGGGUCAUCAGUGGAUAUAUCCUCCAAGUAUGACAGUGGUUAUGAUACUGUCACAUCAUCACUCUGGUUUAUUCCUAAAAGGAGUGCAACCUGGAAGGAUGAGUAGAUCCCUGAGGACCUAACCACAGACCCAAGGUAUGCAGGUCGCGUGGAGUAUGCUGGAGAGAAGGACAGCGGUCGCUCCACCCUGAGAAUCACAGAUCUGAGAGAGGAGGACUCUGCUGAGUACAAGUUCAUUUUCAACACACAAACCUCAGGAUGGGGGUACAGCUUCCCUGGAACAACAUUGACUGUCACAGAUGGCCCAAAGAACACCUCGGUGUCAGUCAGUCCCUCUGGUGGAAUAGUGGAGGGCAGUUCAGUGACUCUGACCUGCAGCAGUGAUGCCAACCCACAUGUGGACAAAUACACCUGGUACAAGAAGAACGUAACCUCACCAAAAGCAUCAGGACAUAGAUACACCAUCACCAAGUUCAGCACUGAGGACAGUGGAGAAUAUUACUGUGUGGUUGAGAAUAAAUAUGGAUGUCUCAACUCUUCUUCAGUGUUUUUGGACGUUCAGUGUAAGUACACCUACUCUUCCUCUAUUCAUUGAUAAUCACACAGAUCAACAACAAUAAAGAAUCAUUAGCGAUGUUAGACACUUAUUAUACCAUAUGACAUAGAAUUAGAUAAAUAUUGUUUCAUUUUGUUCUUCCCAGGUUUCCCCUAUAUCUCCAUCAUGCAUUUAUUAACUCAUGAUACUACAGCAGUGUUUCCCUGGUGUCCUCUAUGUCAUAUCUCCACCAUGUAUUUAUAAUCUCAAGAUACUACAGCAGUGUUUCCCUGGUUUCCACUAUAUCAUAUCUCCACCAUGUAUUUAUAAUCUCACAAUACUACAGCAGUGUUUCCCUGGGUUCCUCUAUGUCAUAUCUCCACCAUGCAUUUAUUAUCUCAUGAUACUACAGCAGUGUUUCCCUGGUUUCCUCUAUGUCAUAUCUCCACCAUGUAUUUAUAAUCUCACAAUACUACAGCAGUGUUUCCCUGGGUUCCUCUAUGUCAUAUCUCCACCAUGUAGUUAUAAUCUCACAAUACUACAGCAGUGUUUCCCUGGGUUCCUCUAUGUCAUAUCUCCACCUUGCAUUUAUAAUCUCAUGAUACUACAGCAGUGUUUCCCUGGUUUCCUGUGGUGGGGUUGGGGGCUGUCCUGACUGCUGGAGCUCUUCUAGUCACAAUCUACUGCUAUAUGAAGAGGAGAUCCACAGGAGGAAGUGAUGCCACAGCAGACACACAGAGGGUCCAUCCUGACCCCAACAGUGACAUGUACACAUCUCUGAACAUGAAGACCUGGUCACCAGAGUAUGACACCCUGGAAGUAAGUCUCUUAUAAUGCAGUUUGUGUGGUUUGUAAAGUGCUCAUUUAAUGUGUCUUCUUUCAGAAUGUGAGAGACUUCGCAGUGACACAGCCCCUCAGAUAGAUACUGAGCUCUCCGAUUAUGAGAACUUAAGAGAACCACCACAGAACCUGGACUGAAGAGAACCACCACAGAACCUGGACUGAAAAGAACCACAACAGAACCUGGACUGAAGAGAACCACCACAGAACCUGGACUGAAGAGAACCACCACAGAACCUGGACUGAAGAGAUCCACAACAGAACCUGGACUGAAGAGCAACAGCAUCAAACCAAAGCUAGGCCUCACAAUGCUAUUCUCUUACUAUGAUAGUGCUUUCUUAUCUAGAAGGUUUAAGACAAUGAGCUUUAUCUUUUGAGUAAAUGCUGGAAUUUAGAUUGUUCUCCUAAUGAUAAAUACAGUAUGUGCACUACCGUUCAAAAGUUUGGGGUCACUUAAAAUGUCCUUGUUUUUGAAAGAAAAGCAAAAAAAUGUGUCCAUUAAAAUAGCAUCAAAUUGAUCAGAAAUGCAGUGUAGACAUUGUUAAUGUUGUAAAUGACUAUUGUAGCUGGAAAUGGCAG